rnacentral:misc_RNA from 1 species
UCCGGGUUUCGCCCGGCAGUCUCCCCCACCCAUACCGGACAUGUCAAGGGCUGGUAAGGUUCUUCGCGUUGCGUCGAAUUAAACCACAUGCUCCACCGCUUGUGCGGGCCCCCGUCAAUUCCUUUGAGUUUUAACCUUGCGGCCGUACUCCCCAGGCGGUGUGCUUAAAGCGUUAGCUGCGACACCGAAGAGCUAGGCUCCCCAACGUCUAGCACACAUCGUUUACAGCGUGGACUAC